rnacentral:rRNA from 1 species
AACGAACGCUGGCGGCAGGCCUAACACAUGCAAGUCGAGCGAGACCUUCGGGUCUAGCGGCGGACGGGUGAGUAACGCGUGGGAAUAUGCCCUUUGGUACGGAAUAGCCUCGGGAAACCGAGAGUAAUACCGUAUGUGCCCUUCGGGGGAAAGAUUUAUCGCCAAAGGAUUAGCCCGCGUUGGAUUAGGUAGUUGGUGGGGUAAUGGCCUACCAAGCCUACGAUCCAUAGCUGGUUUGAGAGGAUGAUCAGCCACACUGGGACUGAGACACGGCCCAGACUCCUACGGGAGGCAGCAGUGGGGAAGCUUAGACAAUGGGGGCAACCCUGAUCUAGCCAUGCCGCGUGAGUGAUGAAGGCCUUAGGGUUGUAAAGCUCUUUCAGCUGGGAAGAUAAUGACGGUACCAGCAGAAGAAGCCCCGGCUAACUCCGUGCCAGCCGCCGCGGUAA